CAAGGAUCAGUGUGUUCAGAUCAUGGAUGGAAAGCUUUUAAGGUAAAGAGAACAUCCAGAAAUGUUUUUACCCCCCAGGCAUCGGGUCCCAAUCAUCAAUUCUGAUGAUGUCACAUACAAUACAUGGCGAAUCCACAACAUCUUAAAAUUGUUUCUGUAAGGUGCAGUGAACGGGAAUGUUCUGUUGUUGAUCCUCACUUUCAUUUUUUAUUGUCACACUUAAGUUUUCAUGUUCAUUGUGUUCACUUUAGAUGUGUAAACUGAUAA